rnacentral:rRNA from 4 species
AUACCCUGGUAGUCCACGCUGUAAACGAUGUCGACUUGGAGGUUGUUCCCUUGAGGAGUGGCUUCCGGAGCUAACGCGUUAAGUCGACCGCCUGGGGAGUACGGCCGCAAGGUUAAAACUCAAAUGAAUUGACGGGGGCCCGCACAAGCGGUGGAGCAUGUGGUUUAAUUCGAUGCAACGCGAAGAACCUUACCUACUCUUGACAUCCAGAGAACUUAGCAGAGAUGCUUUGGUGCCUUCGGGAACUCUGAGACAGGUGCUGCAUGGCUGUCGUCAGCUCGUGUUGUGAAAUGUUGGGUUAAGUCCCGCAACGAGCGCAACCCUUAUCCUUUGUUGCCAGCGGUUCGGCCGGGAACUCAAAGGAGACUGCCAGUGAUAAACUGGAGGAAGGUGGGGAUGACGUCAAGUCAUCAUGGCCCUUACGAGUAGGGCUACACACGUGCUACAAUGGCAUAUACAAAGAGAAGCGACCUCGCGAGAGCAAGCGGACCUCAUAAAGUAUGUCGUAGUCCGGAUCGGAGUCUGCAACUCGACUCCGUGAAGUCGGAAUCGCUAGUAAUCGUGGAUCAGAAUGCCACGGUGAAUACGUUCCCGGGCCUUGUACACACCGCCCGUCACACCAUGGGAGUGGGUUGCAAAAGAAGUAGGUAGCUUAAC